rnacentral:rRNA from 1 species
GUAUAAGAGACAGCAGUCGCCGCGGUAAUACGGAGGGUGCAAGCGUUAAUCGGAAUUACUGGGCGUAAAGCGCACGCAGGCGGUCUGACAAGUCAGAUGUGAAAUCCCCGGGCUUAACCUGGGAACUGCAUUUGAAACUGUCAGGCUGGAGUCUUGUAGAGGGGGGUGGAAUUCCAGGUGUAGCGGUGAAAUGCGUAGAGAUCUGGAGGAAUACCGGUGGCGAAGGCGGCCCCCUGGACAAAGACUGACGCUCAGGUGCGAAAGCGUGGGGAGCAAACAGGAUUAGAUACCCCUGUAGUCCCUGUCUCUUAUAA